CGCUGGCGGCGUGCUUACACAUGCAAGUCGAACGGGAUCCAAGCAGCUUGCUGUUUGGUGAGAGUGGCGAACGGGUGAGUAAUGCGUGACCGACCUGCCCCAUACACCGGAAUAGCUCCUGGAAACGGGUGGUAAUGCCGGAUGCUCCAGUUGGAUGCAUGUCCUUCUGGGAAAGAUUCUAUCGGUAUGGGAUGGGGUCGCGUCCUAUCAGGUAGUCGGCGGGGUAACGGCCCACCGAGCCUACGACGGGUAGCCGGCCUGAGAGGGGGACCGGCCACAUUGGGACUGAGAUACGGCCCAGACUCCUACGGGAGGCAGCAGUGGGGAAUAUUGCACAAUGGGCGCAAGCCUGAUGCAGCGACGCCGCGUGCGGGAUGACGGCCUUCGGGUUGUAAACCGCUUUUGACUGGAGCAAGCCCUUCGGGGUGAGUGUACCUUUCGAAUAAGCACCGGCUAACUACGUGCCAGCAGCCGCGG
rnacentral:rRNA from 1 species